rnacentral:misc_RNA from 1 species
CUUUUUUUUUUUUUCUCAUUAUAGUCGAUUAUUAUCACGAACAUGAUAUUCUUGCGUGAACUUGCUGGUUAUGCUCAUGUGGAGCAUCCCUUCUUAAUCCCUAUAAAAUUAGCAAAAUAGCCACAGGCAAAAACUUAGGUGGUUUGGCAAGGACCUCUCCAUUGGAAAUGGUAAGAAUGUGACCAAAAAAAGGCUCCCUUUCCAGAAAUAGAAAUGCUUGUCACAAAUAAUUAUAAUGCUGUCCAAUAAGCUAAGUUGUACAUGUGAUUAGGGCCCAGCUGAGCUGACAAAUGGACAGGUCAGAGUAACCACAGUACUUGCAACUACAAUUAUUUCUAGUGAAAGACUUUGUUGCUUGCAAAUAACAACACUUCAAAGUUUUACUUCACAGCGACAAAUUGACAAAUGAUGCAAACUGUCCAGGGACACAAGAGUGAGGGAAAAGAAAAACUUGACAAAAAUGGCGUCUAUUUUAAAUAUGGAGUGGAAGCAAGUUCUACUGCUUCCAAAAGAGAAGGCGGUUGUCACGCCCUUUUGGCAAAGUCAUCAGCAUCGUCAUCAUCCCUGAAACUUCCUUCCAAUGGUUCAUCUUGAUCAAAUCCUCCAGCUGCAUCAUCCAAGCUGCUGCUUUCAUGGCCACCCAAUUGAUCACUGUCACCACCGAGUCCCAACCCAGCAUUUCCAUCAUACCCACUGCCAAUAUUGCUGCUUUCAAAACUAUCACUGCCACCAGCAACAGUAUAAUUUCCAGCACCACUUUCAUCAGUGUUUCCACCAGCAACAUUACCACCACCACUACCAUAAUUCCAAGUGCCGCUACCAUAAGCUCCAGUGCUACCACCGUCAAAAGUGUUUCCACCAGAAUAGCCAACAUUUUGACCAACAUAAUCGCCACGACUAGGGUUACCACCUCCAUAAUUCUCACCAGGACCACCAUAACUACCUCCAUAAUUAUUGUCAUAGCCUCCUCCACCACCAGUACCAUAGCCUCCACCUCGAGCACCAUAGCCUCCACCGCCUGCACCAUAGCCUCCACCUCCUGUGCCAUAGCCUCCACCACCAUAACCACCUCCAAAGCUACCACGAGCUCUAUCAUUUGCAUGAUUCACCGUUAUACGACGACCAUGAAGAUCCUGUCCAUCCAGGGCCUGGAUGGCACUAGAGGCCUCCUCACUGGAUGUGUAAGUAACAAAGCCAAAUCCUCUAGAUCUACCAGUUUCUCUGUCAUUAAUGAUCUGAAAAAAAACAAAAACAAUAACGAAACAAUUCAGGCAUAAUAGAUCUACAUAAUUAGUAAAACAGAAACUUCAAAACCGAUCUUUCUUCAUCUCUUGACAAAAAGAGAAGGAAGACGGAACGUACCGUUUCAAGGAAUGGUAUAACAGUAUAAACAGAGUAACAGUAACAGAUGAAUCAAGUAAACCAGAGAUAGAGAUAGUAAUCAGUAACAGAAGGUCAUCAACGAAACCAAAAAAUGGGCUCGGAUCUGAUUUCUGCUCUGCAACAAACGGACCUUCGAGUCGACUACUUCGCCGUAGGUAGAGAAAGCAUCGCUAAGUGUUCUAUCGGUGGUGGCCCAAGCUAGCCCACCAACGAAGCAACUGUACUCAACUUCGGCGGCCAUUAAACUGAACUGAGAAACCAGAAAAGAGAAACCCUAAUGAAAAUAUCUGA